AAGGGCGAUGAUGCAUAGCCGAGUUGAGAGACUGAUCGGGCCACAUUGGGGACUGAGACACGGGGCCCAAACUCCUACGGGGGGAGGGGCAGCAGGUAGGGGAAUCUUCCACAAUGGACGCAAGUCUGAUGGAGCAGCGCCGCGUGAGUGAAGAAGGUUUUCGGAUCGUAAAGCUCUGUUGUUGGUGAAGAAGGAUAGAGGUAGUAACUGGCCUUUAUUUGACGGUAAUCAACCAGAAAGUCACGGCUAACUACGUGCCAGCAGCCGCGGUAAU
rnacentral:rRNA from 1 species